GGGAAGCAUAAACUGGCAGUCGAGCGAGCUUGCCUAGAUGAUUUUAGUGCUUGCACUAAAUGAAACUAGAUACAAGCGAGCGGCGGACGGGUGAGUAACACGUGGGUAACCUGCCCAAGAGACUGGGAUAACACCUGGAAACAGAUGCUAAUACCGGAUAACAACACUAGACGCAUGUCUAGAGUUUGAAAGAUGGUUCUGCUAUCACUCUUGGAUGGACCUGCGGUGCAUUAGCUAGUUGGUAAGGUAACGGCUUACCAAGGCAAUGAUGCAUAGCCGAGUUGAGAGACUGAUCGGCCACAUUGGGACUGAGACACGGCCCAAACUCCUACGGGAGGCAGCAGUAGGGAAUCUUCCACAAUGGACGAAAGUCUGAUGGAGCAACGCCGCGUGAGUGAAGAAGGGUUUCGGCUCGUAAAGCUCUGUUGGUAGUGAAGAAAGAUAGAGGUAGUAACUGGCCUUUAUUUGACGGUAAUUACUUAGAAAGUCACGGCUAACUACGUGCCAGCAGCCGCGGUAAUACGUAGGUGGCAAGCGUUGUCCGGAUUUAUUGGGCGUAAAGCGAGUGCAGGCGGUUCAAUAAGUCUGAUGUGAAAGCCUUCGGCUCAACCGGAGAAUUGCAUCAGAAACUGUUGAACUUGAGUGCAGAAGAGGAGAGUGGAACUCCAUGUGUAGCGGUGGAAUGCGUAGAUAUAUGGAAGAACACCAGUGGCGAAGGCGGCUCUCUGGUCUGCAACUGACGCUGAGGCUCGAAAGCAUGGGUAGCGAACAGGAUUAGAUACUCUGGUAGUCCAUGCCGU
rnacentral:rRNA from 1 species